AGGGGAAGAGUAGAGAAGAAGAGGAAAAGGGAGAAAGGAAGAAGAAAAGAGAAAGAGGAAGGAAACCACCACCACCACCAUCAUGUCAUCUUCAUCAUCAUCAUCAUGAUCACCACUUUCUACUCAUUGUCAUACCCCGAUUUUGACCCUGAAUUUUUUAUUUUUAUUUGGCACUUGGCCUAAAAUUCAUUUGCAUACAUUCAUUCCCAAAUCCAUUUUGUUUACUGAUAGACAUUGGUCAUUAUCUAGCUUCAAGAUUCAUGUUUAAAUUCAUCAAUUCAUUCCCAUUCAAAUCAUGUUCAUAUGAGACCGUUCAAGGCAGCUACAU
rnacentral:lncRNA from 1 species